GCCUUUCUUUCCGAUCUUGUACUCAGGGACAUAGCCUGUUGGUCUCUCAUUCUGACCUUUAAAACCUGACAAAUGCCCCUAAGUCAUUGCUCUCCCACAGGACUGCUGACAAACCAGCCUGCCCCCAACUUGGGGUUAAAAGCCGGUUUAUAAUAAAGACAAACUAGGUUCUUUGCUGUUUAUGACUAAAUCUCUGUUUUUCAAGGAUUAAGCUGUGACCACUUGUAACCUUAAUUACAAAUAGUUCUGCACUGCCGCCUCCAGGAAAAGACAUCGGGCCUUUGUUUCAGGACGUUUUUUUAUGACCAACUUGUUUGCUUAUAUUCUGCUUCUGACACACACACACACUUGCUUCAAUUGGCUAUUUAGGUUGGUGGACUUUCUCCAAGUGCUGUAGGAUUUACACUGUCAAAUCACCAAGGUGUAGUUGGAUACUAUUCAUUAGGUAGUGAAACAAACAAACAAACAAACAAGAAACAGGCCAGAAAUGGUGGGAAUCUCUGUCUGCCAAGUGCUAGAGCUAUUCAAGGAGCGGAUGACAGGGAGAGAAUGGCGUCUUAGGUUCUCGCUGCUGGACGCGCUCAUCCUCGGAAAAACUCCAGGACAACGGCGUCUGCAGUUUGCACCGUGUCCUACUCCGCGCGAAGGAACCCCGGCAGCCUCCCGGGGUCCACAGUCAUAGGCCGCCCCCGUUCCGCUUGGUUUGGACCUCGAGACCCGACGAUUCCUCCGGCGAUGGGAGCCCGAGAGUCAGCGGGGAUGUGUGGUGCAAGCAUGUGGCCGCUUCGUUAUGGAACGGGAAACAUUCGUGACAUUCGGGACCUCAGGCCAGAGCGGGAGUCCCUCGAUACGGUAUCGCAAGGAGGAGGACGCGCGGUCCCUCCGCGAGGGGUUCCUUCGGUGCCCGCCCGGGGUCCGUCAGGGCCGCAGUCUUCCUGCUCGGGAAAAACUGGCAGGCUUCUGGCUCACGCUUCCACUGGCGAACACUUUGCUGCUAUAGAACUCGGACACGCAGUGGCUGGAGAUUUGCGAGCAGCCAGAGUUGCACUCACUGGAUACAACACAAGACUUUCCUAGUGACAAAUCCACCAGGGACUUCGUCAGCUUGUUCUCUAAGCCCUUAGCAGUAUUCCGUAUGUUCCAAGCUCUCUGGACAGGACCUUGUUAGCUAUCCCACCAGUUACAGUCGCUCAAAAAAAACGGCUUUCUGGGCGGAGGUGGAGCACGCUUUAGUCACUACACUCGGGAAGCAGAGGAAUUCGGAGCUCCUUGAGCUGGAGGACCAACCUGGUCUACAAGGCGCGUCCCAGACCAGUGAGGGCUACACAGUGAGACCUGUCUCAACAACAGAACAGGACGAUUAUUUUCUAAAAGAGACAAACAUGGAAGAGGCAGGAAGAGAGGGAGUGGAAAGGGAAUGUGGAGGUUAAGGAGCACUACAGAGGUCCUGCUCCCCGCUGGGAUCCAUCAGGCUUCCUGCUGUGAGUGAGCUGGAGACCAAGACACUGCAGCCCGCGCCCUUCUCCUCUGCGUUAGAUCCAGAAUCCCACCUCCUUCACCUCCACCUAAAUCCCUCCCGGCUGACCCGCGUCCAGGGUCUGAAAACCAAGAGACUCCUGAGGUCCAUUCGCCUUGAUCUCACCCUGAGCACAGCCGCGGAGCAGGCUGACUGGAGCCCACGGUGAGAGGAGCGAUCCCAAUCCGUCCCUGGAGGUCUUCGGAUCGUGCGCGCUGUAGUGCUGGAGGUGACGGGGUGGGGGUGGGUGCUCCCUGUCAAACCGACAGUUUACCCACGAGGAACCCGAAACUCGGAGGGAGAGAUGUGUCAUCCUGGCGCACUUGGUGCGAAGGCCGGAGCGGAAUGGAUUCCGUAUGCGCUCCGCUGUCUGCUGGUUUCACCCGGGCAGUGGAUGGGAGAGAUGACGAUGGUGGGCUCCAUGCCUGGCCUGUCGGCUUUGGAAAGCGAGUCAAGUGUCCUCUGUGGAGUUUGCUUCAAGUGGUCGAUCGAGGGACUCAUAUGUCUCCCUGGUGGUCUAGUGGCUAGGAUUCGGCGCUUUCACCGCCGCGGCCCGGGUUCGAUUCCCGGUCAGGCAAAGUCCUUUUAGCAGCCUCUCUCCUCCCCCUGGUCUUCCUUUGGCCGACUUUUAAAUAGUCCUGUGAGGCACAAGAGCCCUCUCCUUGACUCACAAGACCCCAGAGACAGGGCUUCCAACAGGCAAGUUCUUCUGGGCUCUCCCAGAGAGUGGUCUUUGUUGAGUUUGAGAUAAAGGAGUUGAGAGAGGGGAAAUGGGUGACAUUAGUUCCAAUGUUCCUUUUCAAACAAAGAAGGAAAACAAAACCUCAGAAACAUACAGUGACUUUAUUCUUCCCAGAAACUCCCAAUUUAGCACCUUUCCACCUUGGAAUCUAUUCCAUUUUACCUAUUUACCCAUCAUUGGAGAGUAAUUCCCACACGCCAAGAUCUCUUGGUUGAGCUUUAGUGGCCCCUUUCCUUUAAGGCCAGGGGAUGGCUUUAUCCUCCUAGAGAAGCCCCUCUUGUCCCUCAGAACUCUACACUCACACUCUUAGAGAAGCUUCAGGUAGAAGUCACUUGGGUUUUCCUGUACAGUCCAGACCCUGCUUUUCCAGUGAAGCUCAAAAUAGCUAAAAAGUCAGGGUUUCUAUUGCUCUGAUGAAACACCAUGACCAAAGCAACUUGAGGAGGGAAAGGCUUUAUUCGGCUUACACUUCCACGUCAUAGUCUGUCCUUGAAGGAAGUCAGGGCUCAAACUGGGCAGGAACCUGGAGGCAGGAUCUGAUGCAGAGGCCACGGAGGGGUGCUGCACACUGGCUUGCUCCCCUGGCUUGAUCAGCGUGUUUUCUUAUAGAAUCCAGGACCGGCAGCCCAGAGAUGGCACCACCCACAAAGGACUGGACCCUCCUCCAUCAAUCACUAAUUAAGAAAAUGCCAUACAGGUUUGUCUACAACCCAAUCUUAUGGAAGCAUUUUCUUAAUUGAAGUUUCCUCCUCUCAGAUGACUAUAGCUUGUGUCAUUGACAUAAAAUUACCUAGCACAGAGGCUCUGAAGAUGAUUAUAAUUAGUUUGCCAUCCUAAUGGCAUCAGCUGCUCUCACACCCUGGUCUUUUUGGUGGCCUUUUGAUUUAGUGGCUACUGCUUCUGCCUCCUCCUCUUCCUCCUCCCUUUCUCUUUCUCGACAGUAUCCCAGACUCCCUGGCACUCAAUAUGUACCUGGGGAUGACUUUCAACCCCUAAUCCUAUUGCCUCUUACCUUCCAAGUGCUGGGGUUACAGGUGUGUGUUACUACACCCGACUCUGCACUGGAGUAUUGGGUCAAUCUUAACUCUACAUUAAUGUCACAGUUCGCAACUGCCCUCACCACCCAACUGAAUCACAGACGCGUGCACUCGGUGCCGCUGCUAACGCAACGGGGAGAAAUCACUACUGCAGAACUGGUGGUUCCGAAACCCCGGAAUCUAGCAGAGACCAGUUCCCGCUCGGUGCUUACCUAUGCCCAGCGUGGCGGGCAGCUUGCCUACGCGGGUCGGGAGAGCAGGGCAGGACCAGGCGAUUUGGAACUGAGGCUGAGCCAACAGCACCAGCACAACAAAGUUGUCGCUGGGCUCGUGGCUCGCCGUGAUCGUAUAGUGG
ensembl:lncRNA